rnacentral:rRNA from 1 species
UACAGAGGUCCCAAGCGUUGUUCGGAUUCACUGGGCGUAAAGGGUGCGUAGGCGGUCGGGUAAGUCUGAUGUGAAAUCUCACAGCUUAACUGUGAAACUGCAUUGGAUACUAUUCGGCUUGAGAGUUGGAGGGGGGACUGGAAUUCUUGGUGUAGCAGUGAAAUGCGUAGAUAUCGGGAGGAACACCAAUGGCGAAGGCAGCUCGCUGGGACGUUACUGACGCUGAGACGCGAAAGCGUGGGGAGCAAACAGG